CCUUCGGGACUUACAUACUGGGGCUCAUGGCUGUCGUUCAGAUUGAAAUCGGUGAGAUGUUGGGUUAAGUCCCGCAACGAGCGCAACCCUUUUCCUUAUUUGCCAGCGGGUUAAGCCGGGAACUUUAAGGAUACUGCCAGUGACAAACUGGAGGAAGGCGGGGACGACGUCAAGUCAUCAUGGCCCUUACGACCAGGGCUACACACGUGCUACAAUGGUCGGUACAAAGGGUUGCUACCUCGCGAGAGGAUGCUAAUCUCAAAAAGCCGAUCGUAGUCCGGAUUGGAGUCUGCAACUCGACUCCAUGAAGUCGGAAUCGCUAGUAAUCGCGGAUCAGAAUGCCGCGGUGAAUACGUUAAAGGGCCUUG
rnacentral:rRNA from 1 species